AUACUUACCUGGCAGGGGAGGUACCAUGAUCACGAAGGCGGUUUUCCCAGGGCGAGGCUUAUCCAUUGCACUCCGGAUGUGCUGACCCCUGCGAUUUCCCCAAAUGUGGGAAACUCGACUGCAUAAUUUGUGGUAGUGGGGAACUGCGUUCGCGCUCUCCCCUG
rnacentral:snRNA from 1 species